rnacentral:rRNA from 1 species
GAUGAACGCUGGCGGCGUGCCUAAUACAUGCAAGUCGAGCGAACAGACGAGGAGCUUGCUCCUCUGACGUUAGCGGCGGACGGGUGAGUAACACGUGGAUAACCUACCUAUAAGACUGGGAUAACUUCGGGAAACCGGAGCUAAUACCGGAUAAUAUAUUGAACCGCAUGGUUCAAUAGUGAAAGACGGUUUUGCUGUCACUUAUAGAUGGAUCCGCGCCGCAUUAGCUAGUUGGUAAGGUAACGGCCUACCAAGGCAACGAUACGUAGCCGACCUGAGAGGGUGAUCGGCCACACUGGAACUGAGACACGGUCCAGACUCCUACGGGAGGCAGCAGUAGGGAAUCUUCCGCAAUGGGCGAAAGCCUGACGGAGCAACGCCGCGUGAGUGAUGAAGGUCUUCGGAUCGUAAAACUCUGUUAUUAGGGAAGAACAAAUGUGUAAGUAACUAUGCACGUCUUGACGGUACCUAAUCAGAAAGCCACGGCUAACUACGUG